rnacentral:rRNA from 1 species
GACGAACGCUGGCGGCGUGCUUAACACAUGCAAGUCGAACGGAAAGGCCCUGCUUUCGUGGGGUGCUCGAGUGGCGAACGGGUGAGUAACACGUGAGUAACCUGCCCUUGACUUUGGGAUAACUUCAGGAAACUGGGGCUAAUACCGGAUAGGAGCUCCCGCUGCAUGGAGGGGGUGGGAAAGUUUCGGCGGUUGGGGAUGGACUCGCGGCUUAUCAGCUUGUUGGUGGGGUAGUGGCUUACCAAGGCUUUGACGGGUAGCCGGCCUGGGAGGGUGACCGGCCACAUUGGGACUGAGGUACGGCCCAGACUGCUACGGGAGGCAGCAGUGGGGAGUAUUGCACAAUGGGCGGAAGCCUGAUGCAGCAGCGCCGCGUGCGGGAUGACGGCCUUCGGGUUGUAAACCGCUUUCGCCUGUGACGAAGCGUGAGUGACGGUAAUGGGUAAAGAAGCACCGGCUAACUACGUG